AGCGAACGCUGGCGGCAGGCUUAACACAUGCAAGUCGAGCGGGCACUUUCGGGUGUCAGCGGCGGACGGGUGAGUAACGCGUGGGAACGUGCCCUCUGGUUCGGAAUAACUCAGGGAAACUUGAGCUAAUACCGGAUACGCCCUUUUGGGGAAAGGCUUGCUGCCGGAGGAUCGGCCCGCGUCUGAUUAGCUAGUUGGUGAGGUAACGGCUCACCAAGGCGACGAUCAGUAGCUGGUCUGAGAGGAUGAUCAGCCACACUGGGACUGAGACACGGCCCAGACUCCUACGGGAGGCAGCAGUGGGGAAUAUUGGACAAUGGGCGCAAGCCUGAUCCAGCCAUGCCGCGUGAGUGAUGAAGGCCUUAGGGUUGCAAAGCUCUUUUAUCCGGGACGAUAAUGACGGUACCGGAGGAAUAAGCCCCGGCUAACUUCGUG
rnacentral:rRNA from 1 species